GUAUCUUAUGCACAGAUCACACCCUGCCAGAGUGACAGCCAUGCUUACAUCCUUGUGCAUCCCAGCAGUGCUGAAUUUUACACACUUCUUGUAAAAGCAAACCAACUCCUACCACUGCAGGUUUUCAGAUGUAACAGAUCCAAGGAAAGACAGCAGUUUUCAAUGGCAUUACCUUGUGUUCAAAGGAGAAAUUAUAAGGAUCGUUGUGACACUCAUGCUAAUGAGUCAGGGGUGAGGCUCAGCCUGCAAAUGUCUUCUGCUUCUCUACUCCUGCAGUGCAUUUUUGAUGCAGUAAACUUAAUUACAAAGAUCACUAUCUCAUGCAUUUAAGUCCCAUUACUGUCAAG
ensembl:lncRNA